rfam:Felis catus mitochondrion, complete genome.
GUAAAUAUAGUUUAAUAAAAACAUUAGAUUGUGAAUCUAAUAAUGGAAGUGCAAGUCUUCUUAUUUACC